rnacentral:rRNA from 1 species
UACGUAGGGUGCGAGCGUUAAUCGGAAUUACUGGGCGUAAAGUGUGCGCAGGCGGUCGUUUAAGUCGAAUGUGAAAGCCCCCGGCUCAACUGGGGAGGGUCAUUCGAUACUGAUCGACUUGAGGGCAGGAGAGAGAAGUGGAAUUCCCGGUGUAGUGGUGAAAUGCGUAGAUAUCGGGAGGAACACCAGUGGCGAAGGCGGCAUCCUGGACCGGUAUUGACGCUGAGGCGCGAAAGCCAGGGGAGCAAACGGG